rnacentral:rRNA from 1 species
GGGGUAAAAUCCGUAGAGAUAACUAGGAAUACCAAAAGCGAAGGCAAUCUUCUGGAACACUACUGACGCUGAGGCGCGAAAGCGUGGGGAGCAAACAGGAUUAGAUACCCUGGUAGUCCACGCAGUAAACGAUGAAUGUUAGUCGUCGGGGGCCUAGUGUCUUCGGUGAUGCAGCUAACGCAUUAAACAUUCCGCCUGGGGAGUACGGUCGCAAGAUUAAAACUCAAAGGAAUAGACGGGGACCCGCACAAGUGGUGGAGCAUGUGGUUUAAUUCGAAGAUACGCGAAGAACCUUACCUAGCCUUGACAUAUAUUAGAACUCCGCAGAGAUGCAGAGGUGCCUUCGGGAGCUUUUAUACAGGUGCUGCACGGCUGUCGUCAGCUCGUGUCGUGAGAUGUUGGGUUAAGUCCCGCAACGAGCGCAACCCUCGGUCACUAGUUACUAACGGUNCGGCCGAGGACUCUAGUGAGACUGCCNUUCGUAAGGAGGAGGAAGGUGAGGACGACGUCAAGUCAUCAUGGCCCUNACGGCUAGGGCAACACACGUGCUACAAUGGUUAGGACAAUGAGAAGCAAUAUCGCGAGAGGGAGCUAAUCUCCAAAAGUCGUCUCAGUUCGGAUCGUUCUCUGCAACUCGAGAGAGUGAAGGCGGAAUCGCUAGUAAUCGAGGAUCAGCAUGCCGCGGUGAAUACGUUCCCAGGCCUUGUACACACCGCCCGACACACCAUGGGAGUUGGAUUCACUCGAAUUUUUUGAGCUAACCGUAAGGAGGCAGGCGACCACNNUGGGUUUAGCGACUGGGGUGAAGUCGUAACAAGGUAACC